ensembl:snoRNA SNORD116 Small nucleolar RNA SNORD116
UGAUCGAUGAAGACUCCCAGCAAAACAUUCCUUGGAAAAGCUGAACAAAAUGAGUGAAAGCUCACUACCGUCGUUCUCAUCGAGACUGAGGUCC